UUAUCGGAGAGUUUGAUCCUGGCUCAGGACGAACGCUGGCGGCGUGCCUAAUACAUGCAAGUCGAGCGAAUCAUUUAAAAGCUUGCUUUUGAUUGGUUAGCGGCGGACGGGUGAGUAACACGUGGGCAACCUGCCUGUAAGACUGGGAUAACUCCGGGAAACCGGGGCUA
rnacentral:rRNA from 1 species